rnacentral:rRNA from 1 species
UGCCAGCCGCCGCGGUAAUACGGAGGGUGCGAGCGUUAAUCGGAAUUACUGGGCGUAAAGCGCACGCAGGCGGUUUGUUAAGCUAGAUGUGAAAGCCCCGGGCUCAACCUGGGAUGGUCAUUUAGAACUGGCAGACUAGAGUCUUGGAGAGGGGAGUGGAAUUCCAGGUGUAGCGGUGAAAUGCGUAGAUAUUUGAAGGAACACCAAUGGCGAAGGCAGCUAUCUGGAAUAAUACUGACGCUGAGGUACGAAAGCGUGGGGAGCAAACAGGAUUAGAUA